CAGUCGCCGCGGUAAUACGUAGGGUGCAAGCGUUAAUCGGAAUUACUGGGCGUAAAGCGUGCGCAGGCGGUUCGUUAAGACAGAUGUGAAAUCCCCGGGCUUAACCUGGGAACUGCAUUUGUGACUGGCGAGCUAGAGUAUGGCAGAGGGGGGUAGAAUUCCACGUGUAGCAGUGAAAUGCGUAGAGAUGUGGAGGAAUACCGAAGGCGAAGGCAGCCCCUUGGGAAUGUACUGACGCUCAUGUGCGAAAGCGUGGGGAGCAAACAGGAUUAGAUACCCCGGUAGUCCCUGUCUCUUAUAC
rnacentral:rRNA from 1 species